AGAGUUUGAUCCUGGCUCAGAUUGAACGCUGGCGGCAUGCCUUACACAUGCAAGUCGAACGGCAGCGGACCUUCGGGUGCCGGCGAGUGGCGAACGGGUGAGUAAUAUAUCGGAACGUGCCUUUCAGUGGGGGAUAACGUAGCGAAAGUUACGCUAAUACCGCAUAUUCUCUGAGGAGGAAAGCAGGGGACCUUCGGGCCUUGCGCUGAUAGAGCGGCCGAUAUCAGAUUAGCUAGUUGGUGGGGUAAAGGCCUACCAAGGCGACGAUCUGUAGCGGGUCUGAGAGGAUGAUCCGCCACACUGGGACUGAGACACGGCCCAGACUCCUACGGGAGGCAGCAGUGGGGAAUUUUGGACAAUGGGCGAAAGCCUGAUCCAGCCAUGCCGCGUGAGUGAAGAAGGCCUUCGGGUUGUAAAGCUCUUUCGGCCGGGAAGAAAUCGCACAGGCUAAUACCUUGUGUGGAUGACGGUACCGGAAUAAGAAGCACCGGCUAACUACGUGCCAGCAGCCGCGGUAAUACGUAGGGUGCGAGCGUUAAUCGGAAUUACUGGGCGUAAAGCGUGCGCAGGCGGUUUGGUAAGACAGGCGUGAAAUCCCCGGGCUCAACCUGGGAACUGCGCUUGUGACUGCCUCACUAGAGUACGGCAGAGGGGGGUGGAAUUCCACGUGUAGCAGUGAAAUGCGUAGAGAUGUGGAGGAACACCGAUGGCGAAGGCAGCCCCCUGGGCCGAUACUGACGCUCAUGCACGAAAGCGUGGGUAGCAAACAGGAUUAGAUACCCUGGUAGUCCACGCCCUAAACGAUGUCAACUAGUUGUUGGGGGGGUAAAACCCUUUAGUAACGUAGCUAACGCGUGAAGUUGACCGCCUGGGGAGUACGGCCGCAAGGUUAAAACUCAAAGGAAUUGACGG
rnacentral:rRNA from 1 species